UUCAACUCUUCUACGGGAGGCAGCAGUGGGGAAUAUUGGACAAUGGGCGAAAGCCUGAUCCAGCCAUGCCGCGUGUGUGAAGAAGGUCUUCGGAUUGUAAAGCACUUUAAGUUGGGAGGAAGGGCAGUUACCUAAUACGUGACUGUCUUGACGUUACCGACAGAAUAAGCACCGGCUAACUCUGUGCCAGCAGCCGCGGUAAUACAGAGGGUGCAAGCGUUAAUCGGAAUUACUGGGCGUAAAGCGCGCGUAGGUGGUUUGUUAAGUUGAAUGUGAAAUCCCCGGGCUCAACCUGGGAACUGCAUCCAAAACUGGCAAGCUAGAGUAUGGUAGAGGGUAGUGGAAUUUCCUGUGUAGCGGUGAAAUGCGUAGAUAUAGGAAGGAACACCAGUGGCGAAGGCGACUACCUGGACUGAUACUGACACUGAGGUGCGAAAGCGUGGG
rnacentral:rRNA from 1 species